UACGAAGGGGGCUAGCGUUGCUCGGAAUUACUGGGCGUAAAGCGCACGUAGGCGGCUUUCUAAGUCGGGGGUGAAAUCCUGGAGCUCAACUCCAGAACUGCCUUCGAUACUGGAGAGCUUGAGUCCGGGAGAGGUGAGUGGAACUGCGAGUGUAGAGGUGAAAUUCGUAGAUAUUCGCAAGAACACCAGUGGCGAAGGCGGCUCACUGGCUCGUAACUGACGCUCAUGCACGACAGCGUGGGGAUCAAACAGG
rnacentral:rRNA from 1 species